AUUGAACGCUGGCGGCAGGCUUAACACAUGCAAGUCGAGCGGGGGGAGGUAGCUUGCUACCGGACCUAGCGGCGGACGGGUGAGUAAUGCCUAGGAAUCUGCCUAUUAGUGGGGGACAACAUUCCGAAAGGAAUGCUAAUACCGCAUACGUCCUACGGGAGAAAGCAGGGGAACUUCGGACGUUGCGCUAAUAGAUGAGCCCAAGUCGGAUUAGCUAGUUGGUGGGGUAAAGGCCUACCAAGGCGACGAUCUGUAGCGGGUCUGAGAGGAUGAUCCGCCACACUGGGACUGAGACACGGCCCAGACUCCCACGGGAGGCAGCAGUGGGGAAUAUUGGACAAUGGGGGAAACCCUGAUCCAGCCAUGCCGCGUGUGUGAAGAAGGCCUUAUGGUUGUAAAGCACUUUAAGCGAGGAGGAGGCUACUGAGACUAAUACUCUUGGAUAGUGGACGUUACUCGCAGAAUAAGCACCGGCUAACUCUGUGCCAGCCGCCGCAGUAA
rnacentral:rRNA from 1 species